GAUGAACGCUGGCGGCGUGCCUAAUACAUGCAAGUCGAGCGAACGGACGAGAAGCUUGCUUCUCUGAUGUUAGCGGCGGACGGGUGAGUAACACGUGGAUAACCUACCUAUAAGACUGGGAUAACUUCGGGAAACCGGAGCUAAUACCGGAUAAUAUUUUGAACCGCAUGGUUCAAAGGUGAAAGACGGUCUUGCUGUCACUUAUAGAUGGAUCCGCGCUGCAUUAGCUAGUUGGUAAGGUAACGGCUUACCAAGGCAACGAUGCAUAGCCGACCUGAGAGGGUGAUCGGCCACACUGGAACUGAGACACGGUCCAGACUCCUACGGGAGGCAGCAGUAGGGAAUCUUCCGCAAUGGGCGAAAGCCUGACGGAGCAACGCCGCGUGAGUGAUGAAGGUCUUCGGAUCGUAAAACUCUGUUAUUAGGGAAGAACAUAUGUGUAAGUAACUGUGCACAUCUUGACGGUACCUAAUCAGAAAGCCACGGCUAACUACGUGCCAGCAGCCGCGGUAAUACGUAGGUGGCAAGCGUUAUCCGGAAUUAUUGGGCGUAAAGCGCGCGUAGGCGGUUUUUUAAGUCUGAUGUGAAAGCCCACGGCUCAACCGUGGAGGGUCAUUGGAAACUGGAAAACUUGAGUGCAGAAGAGGAAAGUGGAAUUCCAUGUGUAGCGGUGAAAUGCGCAGAGAUAUGGAGGAACACCAGUGGCGAAGGCGACUUUCUGGUCUGUAACUGACGCUGAUGUGCGAAAGCGUGGGGAUCAAACAGGAUUAGAUACCCUGGUAGUCCACGCCGUAAACGAUGAGUGCUAAGUGUUAGGGGGUUUCCGCCCCUUAGUGCUGCAGCUAACGCAUUAAGCACUCCGCCUGGGGAGUACGACCGCAAGGUUGAAACUCAAAGGAAUUGACGGGGACCCGCACAAGCGGUGGAGCAUGUGGUUUAAUUCGAAGCAACGCGAAGAACCUUACCAAAUCUUGACAUCCUUUGACAACUCUAGAGAUAGAGCUUUCCCCUUCGGGGGACAAAGUGACAGGUGGUGCAUGGUUGUCGUCAGCUCGUGUCGUGAGAUGUUGGGUUAAGUCCCGCAACGAGCGCAACCCUUAAGCUUAGUUGCCAUCAUUAAGUUGGGCACUCUAAGUUGACUGCCGGUGACAAACCGGAGGAAGGUGGGGAUGACGUCAAAUCAUCAUGCCCCUUAUGAUUUGGGCUACACACGUGCUACAAUGGACAAUACAAAGGGCAGCGAAACCGUGAGGUCAAGCAAAUCCCAUAAAGUUGUUCUCAGUUCGGAUUGUAGUCUGCAACUCGACUACAUGAAGCUGGAAUCGCUAGUAAUCGUAGAUCAGCAUGCUACGGUGAAUACGUCCCCGGGUCU
rnacentral:rRNA from 1 species